rnacentral:ncRNA from 1 species
UCUUAUCCAGAGAGGUGGAGGGACUGGCCCUGUGAAGCCUCGGCAACCGGUAUCUGGUGCCAAUUCCAGCAAAGCGCGCUCGCUUUGACAGAUAAGA